rnacentral:rRNA from 1 species
UACGUAGGAUGCAAGCGUUGUCCGGAAUUAUUGGGCGUAAAGAGCGCGCAGGCGGUCUAUCAAGUCAGAUGUGAAAUAUCCCGGCUUAACCGGGAGGGGUCAUUUGAAACUGGUAGACUAGAGUACAGCAGAGGAUAGCGGAAUUCCCGGUGUAGUGGUGAAAUGCGUAGAUAUCGGGAGGAACACCAGUGGCGAAGGCGGCUAUCUGGGCUGAAACUGACGCUGAGGCGCGAAGGCUAGGGGAGCGAACGGG